rnacentral:rRNA from 1 species
CGGACCGGCGCGACGGGUGAGUAACGCGUAUGCAACUUGCCUAUCAGGAGGGGAUAACCCGGCGAAAGUCGGACUAAUACCGCAUGAAGCAGGGGCCCCGCAUGGGGAUAUUUGCUAAAGAUUCAUCGCUGAUAGAUAGGCAUGCGUUCCAUUAGGCAGUUGGCGGGGUAACGGCCCACCAAACCGACGAUGGAUAGGGGUUCUGAGAGGAAGGUCCCCCACAUUGGUACUGAGACACGGACCAAACUCCUACGGAAGGCAGCAG